GCCCAUGUAGCUCAGGGGUAGAGCACUCCCUUGGUAAGGGAGAGGUCGGCAGUUCAAAUCUGCCUAUGGGCA
rnacentral:tRNA from 1 species